rnacentral:snoRNA from 1 species
UCUGUCCCCCCUGGCCCAGGGCCCACAUAGACAGACAGCGUGAGACAACAGCUAUGUGGGCCCUGGGCCAGGGGGGGACAGAGAGAGAGAGAGAGAGUGUGAGACAACAGCUGUCUCUCUGACCCA